GGCGGCGGGGUGACUCCAUAUCAGCCCCGUAUCAGCCCACAGCCCCUCGAGGCCGCCGUUCUGCCGUACCCCGUGGCGUUGCUUAGCGCUCAUCGCCUCCCGAGGCGUGUAGGGCGGUGCUCUCCUGAUUUUGGAGGGCAUUGGUGGGGUCCUAAAGGCGUUCAGAGCCACGGACCGCCCCGCUGGCUGUGAGGGGACACCGCGAGGCCGGGCUGGUUGUGUGGUGAAUUCCCAUAGAGCCGCUCUGCAGUUUCACUUGGUGUGAAAAAAAAAAAAAGAUUAAAAAAAAACAAACGGGCUGCCCUUAACUGUGACCUUUUCCCUACGCGCAGGCAGAGAUUAACACUGCUGUGUCCCUUUGAUCCGUGCUCAGGCACUCCGAAUUUACUAUAAAUCACAUCGUUGUGGAGUCUUUCCAGCCAAUUAAUGCUGAAGAUUGAGCUCUCCGUCCUUUGGAGGUUUCUGUUUGUUUUUCCCCACAAUUGUGUCUGUGCUGUUCCUGCUCUCCCAGCCUUGGAGCGCUGACUCCAGAGCCAUUUCUUAGCAUUAUCUGUUCAGGAGAUUGUGCUGCUUCCUUUCUGGCUGAUGUUUUCCCCUGAUCCAGCUGAUGUGCUCCCACAGCCGUUCUCUAGAAGGUACGAAGCCACUGUACUUCUUAAGAUAAAAUUGGCAGCGUCCUGGUUUGAAUCAUUUCAUUCUUCCAGGCAACAUUUCUGUCUUGUUAGGCAAGAGCUGUUUUGGGCUUCUUUUUUUUUUUUUUUCUUUUUUAAAGACUAAUGAAGAUUAGCAUUUAGUUUCUAGGAAGGUUGGAAAGACAGAGGUGGAAUCACAUUUUCAUUACAGGUGUGUCCUUGUGCCUGUGAAUAGAUAUUUUGCCUUUCCUACUGGCACCUGUGACCUGUGCCAUCCAUCCUGAGGCACUGGGGCAGCGUCGAGGAUAUUGUCUUUUAUCCUGGGUCGCUGCUAGGAGCCACUAAAGAAUCUCCAGCAGAAGUCCUAUGAGAUCAGUGACAAAACUCUCUUAUUUGGAGUGGUGGGGGGGGGGGUAAUGAAAUUUGACAACUAUGUUUCUUCAGUGCUAACAGCCUGUGUCAUGAAUAUUUCUCAACCUGGUAAGUGUGGCCAAGCUUGUACUCACUGAUUCCCAAGCUGCUUGUUUCUUUCCAGCCAUUCAUUUUUAGAGCUCCAGUAGCUGUCCUGUAUCUUGUGACCAACAGCAAGGCUGUUCUAGUCUGGGUUCUACUGGUAAACCGAACCGCUGCUGUUAGAAGAAGUGAACCAGAAGAUGCUGCCAAGGCACGUUGCUGGAUUGCUCUGGAAUCAGCUGCAUGCCAGGCUCCAUUAUGCAGUUAAAACCUCUGGACUACUGGAAAGACUUGGCUCACAGUCUCUUUGUGUCCACAGCUGUAUUAUGAGAUGUCCUUCCCUUCAGCUCUCCACAGUUAUCUGACUGUCAGGUGUGCAGCUCUUGAAGUCAGCAGCACUGCCUGCCUUGAGGCUGGUGAUCAUCUCCCUGAGGUGGUGGGAUUCAAGUUGUUAAGCAAAGGCCGUAAUGCUGCUUUAACAAAUCGUGCCUUGGGAUUAGUAACUUCACUUGGGAGUCAAGUUGAGUGAUUGCAUGAUGUUGGCCUCUUAAUUGGCUUCCUUUUAAAUCUCUUACACAGGCACAUUCCUUCAGACAUGCCAUCUUCCCUCCUAUUUGUGUAUCUAUGAUUUUUCAUUGACUGUCUUUUAAUGAAAGAGCAUCUUUUACAUGGAAAACUUCAGGGAGGUCGCCUCCUCCAAAGUGCAGGGGAAAAAUACUACUACUAAUAAUAAAAAAGUAAGGAAUUUUAGAAUACUUGCCAUACCAGGAAAACAUGAAAGGCAGCCUGAGACAUGGAGACUCUGUGCAAGGCCUGGAAGGUCAUUUGGAAUUUUUAGUUUUGUUGCCAGUAAGUGAAAGAGUGUGCGUGGGGGUAGGGAAGGAAAGACCUAUUAACUCUUAGCAGUAGAGUCAGUCAUAAAACAGCAAGAACUCUGCACUGACUUUAAAUGUGGAAGCAGUAGGUACGUCGUGUUUUCCUUACCAGCAUGAGAAGAAGGUGGGACUGGAGCAUCUGGGCUUAUUCUAUCCCAGUUUCCUCAACCCACAGAUCAUCACUGAUAAAAGAAUCCCACAGACAAAACUCACGCAGCUCCAAUGGGAUUUAUACAAGCAGAAACGCUUUAUGAAUUCUGUACAUGCUUUCUUUUUGCUAUUAUCUUUGAAGCCAUUUGGAACAUUGAGUUCUUUCUGUGCAUGUGAUAUUAGAUCCAUAUUAGAUCCCCUAUAGGGCAGAAUGAAGGAUAGUUUUGUGUUGUCUGUGGCAGGCAUUACUUUUCUGCUGGGAGCUGGCCAAUUUGAUUAAUAUCGAGAAAGAUUCUUUCAAAGAAAGAUAAUCAACCCAAGCCUAAGCGUGUAUCAGCCUCUUGAUGUGAGAGCCAUAAUGGCUAGUGCUGCCAUCAGAGCCACAUUUAUAAAUCAGUACAAGGGACUUGCUAUGAAGGAACAAAACUGAGCGGUAUUAGUGCUUAUUACUGAUACAGCUGAUGCAGCUGAGCAGCAAGAGAGUGUGAAACUCUAUCACUGAAAACAGAUGCAUCUUUCUUUGAUUUCAGCCCUUCUGCAUGGUGGGCAAAAUUAUACCCCUCAGAUUCCCUUUGGUCUUCCUUUAGCCAAGCUCUGUGCAUUUGGUUUAUUUGCUUUAUUCAUACAUAAAACACCAUUUUCCACUCGUCUUGAACUCGACUACAUGCAAACUUAUAUUACCUCACUUCUUUUUUUCCCCUCUUCUUCAAAAUUGUUCCCAAAGAGAAACUGUAAUUCAGGUAGCUAUAGAGCUAUAGAGCUAUAGAGAAGACUGGGCUCAGAUAAGAUCUUAUCCCUAACAUUUUUUUUUUUCUGAAAGGUGACAUUAAGAUAAUUUGAUCUCAAUUUUUUUAAUCUCUAUUCCAGGACUUUGACCAAGAAUGCCUAUCCUUCUAAAAUUUGCAGAGGCAGCUGUCUGCCUUGGAGACUGUCUAGCACCUUUUAGAAGCCUGUACUUUGGCUUUCACAGCACAGCAAGACUACACCACUCUGCAGAAUGAUGACCCCUAAAAGAAGUUGCAUUCUGGCUUCUCUUGGCCCAUUUUCAAACACAAUUUCGUUUUCAGUGCCCGUGGAUCGGGAAGCCCAGAGGACAGCUCUUGAAGCUUCCUAAGGGUUUUUGUAUUCCCCACCACUACUUCAUUCAUCCAAAUCCCUUGCUGUUUCCUGGCUCAAUAGUUGGAAGCACAGAGAACAGCAGUGUGCCAUCCAGGGUUAGAAUAGUUAAUGUGGACUUCCAAGGAAAUUGGGGUUAGGGUAGUUUGAAAUAGUUUGUUUUCCAACUGCCCAGACCAAAUGUGGGCACCAAGAGAUGAAGUUCAUGAAUAUUUGUGAAAUACUUAAGCUUUUCAAGAGUGAGUUGUGAUGGGAGUGCAGAGUAAGAUUAUUUUCUGAGGAAAAACUAAUCUCUUUGAGGACCAUCUGUGCUGUGACAGCGGAAGUCAGUCAAUUAACUAUGGAAAGGUUUUAGGGCACCUGAAUAGAAGAGAAAGGUAAAAUCAUAUUAGACUGUUUAUUUGAUAUCUUCCUUUGGUAUUACUGGCCUUAGAUUGAAAGGGCUAUUUGUUGUCUUCAUAUGUUUUUAACAGUGUUUAACAGAGCAGGACCUGUUGUACUUGGCACUUUAGAGAAACGUUAAAUUUAACACGGAGAAAACUGCUUGAAACAAACAUUUCAAGAUUACGGUUCUAAUAAGGCAGUAGAAUUCUAGUCGAUUUACAGUCUUAACAUGUCCUUCCUGAUGUGCAACAUUGCUCCUUUCACUUCAGGUAGGAUCCUGGUCAAGAACAAAAGCCUGUCACAGCUCCAAGCCUUUACAUUUAUUCUCUUGGGUAAUUCAGCUAGCAGUGACAAAACCUGAAGAGAAGAGAAAACACUUUCUGGCAUGUGAAAGCAAAGUAUUUUUACCUUUUUUUUCUUGAAUUCAUUCUCUGUCUUUGAGAUGCUGAUAGCAGCAGUCCACUUGAUUCCUGAUGGUACCACAGCUCCUAGGGGAAAAUACAGGUACAGACUUCUCAUCUUCCCUUCUCUCCCCAGGCCAUGAAAACAGGAAGAGUUUUCUGCAUUCACAAAAACAACGGGUCUGAGGAGUCUUUUGCUUAUUAUGCCAGGGGAAAAAAGAAAUCCUGUCAUCAGUACGGCCAGAAUAAUAAUAUUAAUAAAAUAUUAAUUAAAACAAUAGUUACAUAUGUCAGAUAGUCUGUGAGGGAUUGCUUACAGAAAUCUCUGCUUUUUAGCUUUUAGUUAGCAUCCUGACUUUUAGUUUUCUCACUUUUCCAGCCCUGGUUAAAAGCUCCUGUACGUAUGAUGGGUUAAUUCAGCUCUUCACACAAAUACAUGUUACACACACUGCUGCCAAGUGCCCUCUCCUCAGAAUGUCCAGUACAGAAUUAGGAUAAUAUUUGCCCACAUCAUAAUUCUUUACCAAUUUUCAGGUAGCUGUUUCCUCAAGAGGUCAGUGCUCUGCCUAUACCCACUGACCUGAGCGAUCCUACUUGUCACCAUUCCAGUGACUUCUUUUGUUUGUUGCCUUAAGCAUUCUUUCUUGCCUGCAUUGCAAAGUUUCAGUAGCCACGGAAAUCAUAUCCCUUCUGAAGGGUUGCACCCUCCUGCACAUUUCAUAGCAUAGCAACGUAACUCUAUUGCCAUGGAUCCCAGACAUGGGCGUGCAGAAUUUAUCCAACUAAUCAAGUGGUGUAGGGACACCAAUUCCAGCUACAGUCGGCUUGGAGCAUGGAGUGGUUACAGCUAAAAAUAUUCUACAAGCACUUUGCAGGGAGGCAAAACAAUGAGGUCUGUUUUAUUUAUUUUGAAUGGCCAAUGUAAUCGGCACUGUCAUAGUAAACUAGAAGGCAGAAUUAAACAUUCAUCUCUAAUAUGUUUCCCACUGAAGUACCACACCUGUAUUCAGUAUUUGAGAGCUAGGAGUUCUUUCUUUACAGUAGUGCCGUGCGGUACAAGUUUAUUAUCCAGCCUUUACUCAAAAUGUGAUUGUUAUGCAUUGCCAUCUUUUGCCCCAAAGCAAAAUGCGCUGCAAAAGAAAGAUGUAUUUGGUUGCUCUCACUGAAACAGCUGGUGUGACUGGUGUCAAAUGGAAUAAAUGCCUGUUGGUCUGACUUUUGCCACUUAGUGAUUAAUGAAAACUUAUCAAAUCUCAUCAAGUAAUUGGAGCUCUCUACAAAGGCCAUCUAUAAAGCAAAGACACGGGUAUUCUAGAAUAAAACAAACCUGAUAAAAAGUAAAGCAUCUUUUCAUGUGAGGAAAAAAAUGUUUUUGUCUGUAUUCCCUGAUUUAAAGCACUUUUGGUUAGAUGCUUGGGACUGUUUGUUGAGCAUGAUAUUCAAAAGAUACAAUUAAAACAAAAGGAGAUUGGUUUGUCUCUGCUUUUAGAUGCAUGUUGAAGCCCUGAUAUAAAACUUACUUGUUAUAAAGGUCCAAAGUCUUGCACAGUUAAUUCAAAUAGAUUCUACAGUGAGCAAAUCUGCUUGGCAGCAACGUGCAGAAAGUGACUUCUUGUAGAAAAAUCCCAAAUGCGAAGGAAAGACACUUAAAACAUUGCUUUGAAAAGUAUAAAAGGAUAAAUCUUACCAAGAUGAAAACACAAAAGCAUUUCUCACAAGGAAAAUUUUAGAAGAGAGUUGACACCGGCUUGUAAUGAACCUUGAAUUGUAAGUGUAACCUUUCUUCAUAAUAACAGUCUUCAUCCAGCAGCACUGUUUGGUCAGUAAUGGGUUCUUUUGUUGUUGCAGAUGGCUUUGAAUUUCAUGAUGUUGCAAUCGGAAAGCCUUGAACGCUUCAGGAUCAGUUCUAAUAUUUUCCUGUUGAUACUCAAUGUGGCUCUCCACGGCUGGCUGAGAGAAAAGAGCCCAAACUGCUCAUUUGCCCUGACAAGUCUUCACUCCCUGUGUUUCUGAUGAUUGGCUGUGCUCCGUGCUUGACUUCAGCAGCAGCUAAUAAGUAACUCCUGAUCCAGCAAAACUUCCAAAGGUUGACAGAUAUCACUUGAGUUUCCAUUUCAGAGAACAUGGAAGUAUUCAUGACAAAAUGUGGAGACUUUGGCAUCAUGAAAACAACACUCAGACUCCUGAGCAGCUGCCUGGGACCCCCACUGCACAUGCAAAAAAGCUCAGUAGAUGUCUUUCUGACACCUGCUCUUAAUGGCAUAAGGGUCAUUGUAGCCAGACUGUUGUGUUAGGGUCCAAAACUAGGGGGAAAAAAAUCAUCAGCUACAUUUACACUGAUGCAGCAGAACUGCCAGGUCACAGCCUGGACCAAUGGUUGAGCACCAGGUGAGAAGCUGUGGCUACUGCAGGGAGAUCAGGUGCAAGCAAUGCACCUGCGUGAUGGAAAGGUGUGGACUCUGAGUUUGCUCCUCCUCUCCCUCAUUUAAGGGUUGACAGCCAAGGGAACAGCAUAUCUCCAGAGAGUGACUGUGUUCUUUCCAAGUUAUCACUGGUUGUCAGAGAGGUGAGCCAAUUUUUCUUCUUUGUUAUCUGCUGUUGCUCUGUAGUGUUUGUAUCCCAUUAGAAGGUGCUGUCAUUGCCUUCUUUUGCUGUACAGCUGGUAAACUAAAGAGGCCAAUGCUCAGGCACUGCUGUGUAGAGCACUCACAACUGAAUUGUGAGCAUGUAGCCUGGCAGUUUUGGUGCUACGACUUUCAGGACUCUCUUAAAUGCUAUCUGGACACGGCUUGGAAGAAAACAUGGAAUAUGGACAGUUCCCCAUGGACAGUGCGGUAUAAUUGUGUUUUAUUGGAGGAAGAUGAAAACUUAGUUCUGUGAUAUCAGCGUGCUAUGCUGUUUGGCCUUGAAACUGAAAGGGCAAGGUCUGAAAAACAAAGAGAAAGGGUCUGUGUUGUGAACCAAUAGAUGUGGACAUGUCCUGGAGCAAAACUUGUUGCUGCAUAUAUAGCCUCAGGCUCUUUGGCGUUGGGGAAAGUUUUUAUUUUCAUUGUAUGUUUUCAACAUGUUUAAGCGUAUACAUGAAUACAUGCAUAGUCACGUGGCUUUUCAAAUUGGGAAACCCUUUUCCAAUACUCACUCAUUACAGCUUGAGCGUAUUUACAUGCUCAUUAUUACUGUCCUUUAUCCAAGUUCUUCUCAUUCAAGCACUUUAUGGCCAUUUCUUACAGUGUUUCUUGCUAUGGUUCAGUAAAAAAGUAACUAUCGUCUUGUUCCCUCCUAUUACUGGGAACUUAUCUAACACAGCAGAUGAGCUCUUUUAACCUCAGAGCACCACCUGGCUUCGUAUGGAUCCUUUUGAGCACCUUCCUCGUUGACACUGAUACCUGAUUUAGAGCCUGUGUGUGAAAAUUCCCUCAUGCUGAUAUCAAGCGUACAAUUCAAAGGCUAUUCUGGUGCCAUUUAGCCUCAACAUCAGGCUUCUAAUCUAAACUUGUGAGACCAUAAAAGAUUUUUUUCAGUCAGUCUCAGGGCUUUUUUUCCCCCCAUUUGGACUUUCCUCAUUUGCUCUCAGAGGUACAAGAUAGACAUUCACCAGUUCCUCAGUCUUUACAGAGGUAAUAGUCAGAUGGUGUUUUUACACAAGGAGGUCAUCAAGUUACAGAUGAGAACUGAAUAAUUGGUUUUCCCUUUCAAACAUGUGUGGCCUCGUGUCUCUAGAGCAUUUGCUGUCUUAAAAAUAACAAGUAUUUUUUCCUGUUUUCAUAGAUUUUCUCGCCUGCAUACCCAUUCUUCUCCUCAAAAUCAUAUCCUCAGCUAAACCUUACUUCGAUAUGGAUGUAAGUUCAAAAUCAAAGUGUACUCUGUAGAUUCUGACUAUAAACUUAUGAACUUACUCCAAGAUAUUCAAGGCAAUCAGAUACUUGGACUGAAAUAUAUCUAGAAUAAAAAUUAUGUUGAUUAGGAA